rnacentral:lncRNA from 1 species
GCCUAGGAUUUGUAAAGACAAGCAUUAUUAUUUAUUGAUUAUAGGCAAUUUCUCCAGCAUCUUCUGAGGAAAACUGACUACUGGACCAUGCAAGAACAGGACAUUGAAGUGACUAUGAAGCAUGUAUACAAGGAGGACUGGCUGAGUCAUUCCUUGGAGAAGAUCCGACUUGAGAGGAGGUGAGUCACGGACCUGGGGUGAAUCGCUUCCUUCCCAGUGAACAGUAAACUAAAAGGCAAUUACGACGUAAGAAAGACUGAGAUUCUGCAUAAGAGAUGUGCUUCCUCCUGGCGUACCGCCCACUCCAUCUGUAUCUGCUUCUUUCCUUAUCAGAUCUCCACUUCCCAGUCUCCAUAGGUACAUUAAAAU